UAUCUCUGUAGAGUCUGCAUAUCAAUAAGCGGAGGAAAAGAAACUAACUAGGAUUCCCUUCAGUAACGGCGAGUGAAGCGGGAAGAGCUCAAAUUUGAAAUCUUCAAGGUUCUACCUUGACGAAUUGUAGUUUAAAGAAGUGUUUUCUGUUGGAGUUUUGGUAAAAGUUCCUUGGAAUAGGACAUCAUAGAGGGUGAGAAUCCCGUAUUUGACCAUUAUUUCCAGCUUUGUGAUACACUUUCAAAGAGUCGGAUUGUUUGGGAAUGCAGUCCAAAAUGGGUGGUAAAUUUCAUCUAAAGCUAAAUACUGGCGAGAGACCGAUUAGCGAACAAGUACCGUGAGGGAAAGAUGAAAAGAACUUUGAAAAGAGAGUUAAACAGUACGUGAAAUUGUCAAAAGGGAAGCGUUUGACACCAGUGUUGUUUUUCCGAAAAAUCAAUUACGAAUGGCUUGAUCUUGUGUUGUAUUGACCUUAUCAGCUUUCUGCACUUUUUUCGAGUCUUUCUUAAUGCACUUUUCGGUUAACAAGUCAACAUCAAUUUCUUUUGUUGUAAAAGAGUAUUCGGAAGGUGGCUUUCUUUUCGGAGAAAGUGUUUAUAGCCUUUGGCCUCUGCAAUCGGAGAGAUUGAGGUCUGCAGCGUAGAUCCUUCGGGGUUAGAUACAUUUGUGCUAAGUUAUAGCCUUUCAUAGACAACUUGUUGACUAUGAUCAGUCAUGUAGCUUACUCGCUUAUGCUAUUUUACCUACGCUUAGGAUGUUGAAGAUGUAGCACAUCAU
rnacentral:rRNA from 1 species